rnacentral:rRNA from 1 species
GCUUGUCUCAAAGAUUAAGCCAUGCAUGUCUAAGUGUAAAUACGUCUACACUGUGAAACUGCGAAUGGCUCAUUAAAUCAGUUAUAAUUUAUUUGAUAGUGAAAUUGUACAUGGAUAACCGUGGCAAUUCUAGGGCUAAUACAUGCGUCAAUGGUCGGUCGACCAGUAUUUAUUAGAUACAAAGCCAGCCGUCAGGAUCAGGUGAAUCAUGAUAACCAAACGAAUCGCAAGCGCAAGCGGCGAUGGUUCAUUCAAAUUUCUGCCCUAUCAACUUUCGAUGGUACGGUAUUGGCCUACCAUGGUUACCACGGGUAACGGGGAAUUAGGGUUCGGUUCCGGAGAGGGGGCCUGAGAAAUGGCCACCACAUCCAAGGAAGGCAGCAGG